CCAUUCAUCGUCGUAUGCGUCUUCGCAUGGACACUGCAGGCGCGAUGCAGCGUUCGAGCCGCACAUCCUCCCCGUCCUCAGUAUCGUCCUGGACGGCUGCCUCCUCCGAUUGCUCGCAGGACCCCGAGGAUGGGGAGCGGCUUUAUGAGCUCGCCUGCGUCGAGACCUUCAUGCCGCUUGCCGCGGACGUGACACCAGCAGACGAGAGUCUUGGUGCAUCGCCUGAGCACCCCGUCGCGAAAAUUAACUAUCCGCCGAACUUCAGCUUCAUCUACGGCGUAUACCGUGCACUUCGAGGUCAACUGGAGUACACCCCAACGCUCCCGCCCUGCGGUGAGCGAUGUGGGGGUGGUGCGCUGCCUCCUGUAAUUCAUGCCAUUCGCACCUCAGCGGCACGCUGGUUUCUUCUGCUGGCCUUUGCACUUCGCCAGUGCACCUCCAACUACACCGUCUGGAAAGACCGACGCGAUGUGCUCAUGUCCCCUGCGGUGUUGGAGCAAGCGACCCGUGACGCGCUGCCGGAACUUCCGAUACCGGCCGCCAUCCUUUCCUGCACCGCCUCGGAGGCAGACAAGCAAGAGGCGCUACGGGAGAUGGACGAAAAGCAGACGAAGCUGAGGCUGACGUCACAGCACUGGCUCCCUGCGCGCGCCGACAUUGCGUGGGAAGGUCGGCUGAGCCCGUGGCGUGCGGUGCGCUGGGAACUGACGACGGUCGGUUGCUUCACCCGGCUGUACCACAAGAACUUUCAGGUGUGGCACCACCGAAAGGAGCUGCUGGCGUACGCUCUCCAGCAGAGCCCCUCUCACGUCCGAUGCGGUGUGGACGCCGCGGCCACGGAUGAAAAGCUGGAGCAGCAGGUGGAGGACAGCAGUCCGUUUGUGCCCCUAUUGGCGAGUGAGGCAACAUUUAACGAUUACCUGCGCCGUCAUGACGGCCUCGACUUUGCCGCGGUCGACGAACGGCCGACGUUGCGCGCGGUGCUGUGCAAUGAGGAUGGGAAAAACUAUCAUGCCUGGCUGCACCUGUCAUGGUACUUGCAUGCCUUCUCCUUCCUGCUGACGCCGCCGUCGCGGAAGGCCCUGGAUGAGCACGCAAUGGUGGCUACGGCAGCCGCAGCUGAUCAAGCUCUGCGCUUUACGCCGCGACCCGACUGGAUCACUACCUCGGAGGGCGCAGCGCCGCCGGCACUGCGCCCCACCCUACCACCAAGUCCACUCACCGAGGAGCUGCAGUUCACAGCGCAGCUUAUCUGUCAAGACUGCCGCAACAACUCUGCGUGGUGUCACCGCUUCGCCCUCUUUAGGGAAGCCCUGCUUCGUCCUCUCUGGCGGCAGGUCUGCUCCGAGGCUUGCACCAGUUCGGUCGGCGCACCCACCAACAGCGAGAACUGGCCGGGCACCCUGCGAGACAUUUGUGCAGUGGAGCUGAAUUACUCGCUGCAGUGGUUGUAUGUGGACCCAACGAACGAGGCCGCCUACGCCCACGCCCGCUCCGUUGCCCUCCUCUUCCACACACUUCUCAUGCGAUGGCACGUGUGGGCGGCAGAGCACGCCAGCAGGGACGGUAGUGAGGAGCUUCAGCGGUACCUCACCGACGCCCCAUUGCUCACCCCGGUCGCACUGGCGAACUCCGAAACGUGCGCCGACGCCGACGCCGGCACCGUCAGCCCCUCCACGCCACUUGUGGAUCUCCUCCGUGACCGCCAACGCUGUGUUCGGUGGGACGCCUACGUGGAGAGCUUUGCCCUGAUGCGGCACAUGCAGCGGGUGCUGCACACUGUCGUCCGGCUCCGGGUUACCGAACUGGAGGCGCAGACGGCGCGCGUCUUGCGCUUGGCGGCGGCGAACAACACGAGAAGCUCAUCGCAGCAGGCACCCAAGUCUGAGGCGAUUGCCGAGCUGAAGAUUCUCUACGAGAGCAGCUCACAGUACAUGCUGGAUAACUUCCACCAGGUCGACACAGCGCAGUACUUGGCCUGUCAAGCAAUGCUGGAAGAGAUGUGGCUGACGUACAUGAACGCGGCACAGCGACGCGGGGUGCAGCAGCUUCGCCCGUCGGAGGCGUAUCGCGAGGGUCUCCAGCCGGAAUGGCUGAAACCCUGUCCAUGGGAUGAACCGAAGACGAGUGCAAUGGACGCAGGCAAGCAGGAAGACCGUCAGGAUGCUGUCGUCCUCGACUUCCUGGCCUACGAGGCCGCUGCGUUGAGCAAGGCGAAACAGCUGACGGUGGCGGACCCGAUCCGUCUCAAGUACUGGAAGCACGAGGUUCUUAACGUUAUGUACCGCGGCUAUGGCAUGUCUGUCUGAC
rnacentral:misc_RNA from 1 species